rnacentral:lncRNA from 1 species
UCCUGAGAACCCAUCAUUUACUCUCUACGGACCUGACCCGUUCCUAGUGAAUCUCAAAAGAAAUGCUAUGCAGCAGCCCUUUGAAAUGAAGUGCUUUUCUAUUGAACCAGAAAAUAAUCACAUCCUCCCAUUUACUCUUUAGGGUACAAAUUGAUCUGACUUGAUUUGUCAGAGAGCCAGAACUGCAGGCAAAUAGACGCCGGAGAAAUCAACCAAUCUUUUAAGCCAACAGUAAUUGUUCCUCCUGUCGGCUGGCUAAAUGACUUGUAUCUGGAGGAGAUGCUCAGAAUGAAUCAGAAUGCCUGAGGUGACAGAAACGCAGAGCAUCCCACAGUGGGGUCUCUCAGAGUGAAUGAAAAUGGCCACUCCAGCCCCGAUUCAACAAUAGUCUUCAGUUCACAUAUCAACAAUUGUAAGAGGGGCUAGAGCAGACAGAACGCUUAGAGGUUGCAAUGGGCAAGAGAGCGGGAAGGAAAGCGACGACAGAGAGCUGCCAGGGAGUCUAAGAGGCUGCAUCCUUCAGGCGGCGCGAGAAAGGGUCUUCAGCUCCAGAUCAAGAUUCCGAAGAGUUAAAUAUUACUGCGCAGCCCGACCUGGAUGGGAUUUGCUUCUGGGUACAAAACGGGACACUGAUCAAAAUCAACUUGGACAAGUGACAAGACUGAGUCUGAUGAUUGUGGAUGUCUUUUAAGGUCGUUGGAAGGGAGAGGAUGGGAGGCGGUGUGCUCAGGGGUAGGUGGAGGGAAGCAUCAAAUCCAGGGAUAUAAAGGGACACGGAGCCGGGAAACAGAGGACAAAAUGCGUGGGGAAAGAGAGAGAGGAAGAGUUGAAGAAAAGUAAGGGGAAAGUAGGGACAGGGUUAAGGGGAGAGAGGAGGAUAAGAGAGAAGUGAGGGCGGCUAGGAGGGAUUAAAAAGGGAAAGGGGAUCGCCGGAGAGAAGGGCGGACGGCUGGCUCGGGAGGUGGGGAGGCGGCGAGGGGAGCGAGCGGGCGGGGGGCGCAGAGAGCGGCGAGGGGGCUGGAGAGGAGGAGGAG